UACGUAGGAGGCGAGCGUUGUCCGGAGUUACUGGGCGUAAAGGGUGCGCAGGCGGCCUACCGCGUGGGGGGUGAAAUCGCCCGGCUCAACCGGGCGGGUGCUUUCCAGACGGGUAGGCUUGAGGGACGGAGAGGGGCGCGGAAUUCCGGGUGGAGCGGUGAAAUGCGUAGAGAUCCGGAAGAACACCGACGGCGAAGGCAGCGCCCUGGACGUCAACUGACGCUCAUGCACGAAAGCGCGGGGAGCGAACAGGAUUAGAUACCCUGGUAGUCCGCGCCGUAAACGAUGUCCACCGGGUGCUGGGGGUAUCGACCCCUCCAGUGCCGCAGCUAACGUGAUGAGUGGACCGCCUGGGGAGUACGGCCGCAAGGUUAAA
rnacentral:rRNA from 1 species